rnacentral:lncRNA from 1 species
CAACAUAUACAUAAAAACUAAUUAUUACAACAUUAACUCAUGGAUAGUUAGGUACUAUAGAAGAACACCCGCCCCGAGCUUGAUUAUUGUUGCCACCCAAAGGACAUUUUCUACGGUCGUGUUAGGUGCUAUAGAAGAACAUCUACCCCGAGCUUGAUUAUUGUUGCCACCCAAAUGAUAUUUUCUGCGUUCGUAUCCUAUUUGCGAGCAUAUACCACAUUUGCGCGCAUAUACGAUAUUACUAACAUUUAUUUGGUUCUGUAUACGCGUUCUCUUCUGCACCUGUCUUUUAUGCAAAUAAGACUUGUUACACACCAUUUUAAAUUGUUUUGGAGGCCAAUAAUGCUCAGCACCCACUGGCUGCAACUGAAGUUUAGAUACUUGGAAACACUAUAUUGUUGAUCAAUAUAGUUGGUCUCCGCAUAACCAACACGUUGAAAACAUUUGAUGGCAUGUGAGCAAGGAAUGUGGUAGAUUGACCAUUUCCUACAAGAGCAUAACCUUGUAGAUUCAUUUACAAUAUGAACAUUAUUACCCCGAUUAUUAUGGAUAGCGGUGUGAACUUCAAAAAUACCUCUUUCUUUUUAAUAUUGCAAAAAGGAAUGCCAAUGUGCUCGCCGUAUGUAUUUCACAAGUCUCCGCAUAGGCACAUGCAUAAAUUCAACACCCCUUUCCGUCAAUUCCGUUGUAGCUGCAGAUCGUUGAACAAACCUCUCUACCAUCUGCUUAAAUGACAUCCGCACCAUGGCUGCGACGGGACUGCCACUAUCUGCAUGCAACAUCCACUUUUCAGGGUCAUGUCGCAUUAUUCAACGAUAGGCUCAUGUCGCAUUAUUCAACGAUAGGCUGCCUUGUCUUCUCGCCUGAUAGAAUCCAUAUGCCUCCAGAAUUUAUGCUGUUGGUGGUCUGUUGUUGUCAUCCACAUAAAAUCAUGUAGAUCUUUUUUGGGAUGUGCCUUCUGGAAAUUGGCCUUCAAGUGCCUCACACAGUAACGAUGGUAUGCANNNN